UACGUAGGGUGCAAGCGUUAAUCGGAAUUACUGGGCGUAAAGCGUGCGCAGGCGGUGAUGUAAGACAGAUGUGAAAUCCCCGGGCUUAACCUGGGAACUGCAGUCGGGACUGUCUAGCUAGAGUAUGGGAGAGGGAAGUGGAAUUUCAGGUGUAGCGGUGAAAUGCGUAGAUAUCUGAAGGAACAUCAGUGGCGAAAGCGACUUCCUGGACCAAUACUGACGCUCAUGUGCGAAAGCGUGGGGAGCAAACAGG
rnacentral:rRNA from 1 species